GACGAACGCUGGCGGCGUGCUUAACACAUGCAAGUCGAACGGAAAGGCCUUCUUUCCCUUGUGGAUUGCGGUGACUCAAGUGGCGAACGGGUGAGUAACACGUGAGUUAGCUUCCCCCAACUUGUGUAUAAGCCUGGGAAACUGGGUCUAAUUCCCGAUAGUACUGCAGUGUGGUGCCGGUGGUUGAAACCGAUGUGCUUGUAGUUGCGGAUGAGCUCUCGGCCUGUCAGCUUGUUGGUGGGGUAAUGGCCUACCAAGGCGGGGACGGGUAGCCGGCCUGGGAGGGUGGACGGGGAAAUUGGGACGGAGAUAAGGCCCAGACUACAACGGGAAGAAGCAGUGGGGAAGAAUGCACAAUGAGCGGAAGCCUGAUGCAGCGAGGCCGAGUGGGGGACGCCGGGUUUCGGAUUGCAAACUUCUGGUGAUCAAGAGCAAGCGACUUGGAUGGAGGGGUGGUGACGGUAGUGGUAGAAGAAGCACCGGCUAACUACGUG
rnacentral:rRNA from 1 species